AAGUUAGUUUUGCUUUGUGCUAUGCACACACUGUACCAUACAGCUCUAUAAAUGCUAACCCAGAGCAGUGCUUUUCAACCUUUUUUCAUUUGUGGACCUUAAAUUUCAAGUGGUGCUUUGAAAUCUUAGACCCAGUUUGCAAACUCCCAGCAGUCUCUGGACCACAGGUUGAAGACCACUUACCUUGUGCAUUAAGAAUAGGGGACGUGACAUAACAGGGAGCUGGUUGAUUCCCUCCUGAGCAAUGCUAACUCAAGCCUGAUUGGAGGACAUUUGUAUCCAGGGAGUGACUGAUGUAGCCUAUAAGGAUGGUAAAAUAAAGUGGAAGUCCUUAAUAAAAAAAUGUUUCUUGAA